GGAUUUUGUCAGAAAGUGGAAACUCUCCGCGAAGCCUUUCCUCGCCGCUGCGGCUCGCGCCUCGCUUCUUCCCCUAGGUUCACCUGCCUGCCCGAGUGACUGAGAGCCGUGCGGACCGGCCCCCGCCGCCCGGAACGCACUUCCAGUCCCAUGGAGCCCGAACUCCUGCUCGGCGUCUCUACUUUCCGCUCCGGCUGAGCUGCUCUGGAGCCCGAGACCGGGGAGGCGCGACUCUCGGCCCACGGCCGCACAGCCGCCGGGUGCUGUCCGCCCUCCGAGACCCGCGCCAGCGCAUCGUAUGGGACUGGGACUCCAAUGGCAAACAUGACUUCAUUGGCGAAUACACCUCAGCAUUCAAGGAGAUGAGAGGAGUGAUGGAAGGGAAACAGGUCACCCACAACAUGGAAGAAAUUGACUCCUAAUGCAAUCUUCCCACAGUAUCUCUAAGUUACAUGUGGACUUUGGGUGAAAUGGAUCUGGAUCCACCAUGAGUUCAGCUUCAGGACAGCACUCAAUCAAGUCCAUGCAGACAGGAACCAAUUGUCUUUAGGAACUUCCAGAGGAGGCACCACCAUGGGAUUACAAGUGUCAUGUGUGGGGCCCCAGCCGAAGAACCCAAGACGAGCAGAGAAAGAUCCUUACUCCUCUGCAGAGAGACCCUCCCUCGAUAUGUGGUCACCCCAGACACCUGCUCACCCCAAGUACCUGGUCACCUGGGCUAUCUGAUUGGUUCCUCGUCCUCCACCUCCCCCAGGCGAUGACUGAUCGCAAGGAUCCUGGCAGGUCAGUUUAGCCGGAAUCCCCGCUGACCCCAGAUGUCUACCUUAGCCAGCGUUCACUACUGCUCCCUCCUUCUGCUCACUGGCUGUAAACCCCUUGCCCACGCUGCAUUCUAGAUGGAGCCUGGCUCUCUACAGAGGUUUUUUUCCUCCAUUGCAAUAGCUGCUGAAUAAAAUCUGUGUGGGCUGCUUUAAAGACCAUCUGGCUCUGGUUCUGUUUGAAAGAGGACGCAGCAGGAAGAUGACUGUCUCCAUGCCAAAGAGGGAGGCCACAGAGAAACCAACCCUGCCAACACGUUAAACUCGGAGCUCCAGCCUUUGGAACCUGUGAGACAAUACAUGUCUAUUGUUUAACCACCUCGUCCGUGGUGUUUGUUACAGCGGCCCCAGGAAACACAGACACCAUUGUCUGUGGAGAGGUGGUGGAGAGCUGGGUUUGUACUUGAGCUCCACCACCAGUGAGCCAUCUGCCUGUGCCUUGGUUUCUCACCUGUAAAAUGGGAUUGGUAAAAGGGCCCCUCUCACAGAUCAUAGGGAGGCUCCCGCAAGUUAAAGCGUGUGAGGCGCUCAGGGCCCAUGUUAACCACGCAGCGUGUUGGCCAUCCGCCCCACAUUCUGGACCCUCUCCUCUGGUGGGGAGGUAUUCCCUCUAGGCUGGAGGGGAUCCAUCCACUGGUACCAUCUCCAGCUGUUAGAACCUCUUCGUGUAGAGGCAGGGAGGGUUCAGAAUUUGCCACCCCAAAUAUGCCGCAUUGGCCCAAGCGUUACUUUGAGUUGAGGGAUUGAGAAGCAGCAAAAGGAAAAACUGCCCCCCUCCACCUGCCUGAUCCUUUGUGAGGUUGGUCCCCUCCCUCUCCUGUACCAGGAAGGGGAGAAAGGAUCUUAUCAUCUGAGAAGGUACCAACUUCAGUCUGCGUAACAAACCUCACUGAAUCAGCUCUGUCUUCCAUUAUGUCCCCCUGCUUAUUUACCUUCCCACAACUUACUGCCCCAAAAAACUGAAAGCUGCUUUCCUUUGUCUUGUCUCUUCUCCAGAAAUUGAUCACCCUUUGUCAACACGGCACAUAAACCCUAUCUAACUAUCUCUUUGCACCUCCACUUCUUUUCUGUGAAGGCUUCUGUACACAGACAUAAUAAACCUUUUGCUUCUGUUAA